UAAAUUUAUUUGAUUUUUAUUGUUGUUUUUGAGAAACACAUAACACAAUUACAAACAGUAAUAGAACAAACAGCAGGGGGAGGAUCCAACAUUCGAGUAACAUUUAUGACUUGGGGCAUUUU